UACAGAGGGGGCAAGCGUUGUUCGGAAUUACUGGGCGUAAAGGGCGCGUAGGCGGCCUUCUAAGUCGAACGUGAAAUCCCCGGGCUCAACCCGGGAACUGCUUCCGAUACUGGAAGGCUAGAAUCCGGGAGAGGGAUGUGGAAUUCCAGGUGUAGCGGUGAAAUGCGUAGAUAUCUGGAGGAACACCGGUGGCGAAGGCGGCAUCCUGGACCGGUAUUGACGCUGAGGCGCGAAAGCCAGGGGAGCAAACGGG
rnacentral:rRNA from 1 species